rnacentral:misc_RNA from 1 species
GAUGAAGAACGCAGCGAAAUGCGAUAAGUAAUGUGAAUUGCAGAAUUCAGUGAAUCAUCGAAUCUUUGAACGCACCUUGCACCCUUUGGCAUUCCGAAGGGUAUGCUCGUUUGAGUGUCAUUGUACUCUCACACUCUCCGAUCCUAUGGAUUCGGGGAGCGGUGGACUUGGGUGUUGCUGCCUUUCCUUGUGGCUCACCUCAAAUGUGUCAGUGCACCUCUUGGUUGGACAUAGUACGGCGUGAUAAGUGUCUUCGCCGGCACCUCGCAAGAGGGUGGCCGAUCGGGAGCUCUGUGUUUUCAAACCGUCUUCGGACAAUUUCUGACAACUUGACCUCAAAUCGAGUAGGACUACCCGCUGAACUUAAGCAUAUCAAUAAGCGGAGGA